rnacentral:rRNA from 1 species
GGAUUCCUUAGUAAUGGCGAAUGAACAGGGAUGAGCUCAACCAUGGAAAUUGAGGCUUCUGGCUUUGAAUUGUAAUCUCAAGAUGUAUUGCUAACGGGGGCGCGGAUGUAAGCCUCUUGGAAAAGAGAAUCAUUGAGGGUGAGAAUCCUGUUUGUCAUCCGCGGUCCUCCGUGCACGGCGUACGUUCUACGAGUCACGUUCCUCGGGAUUGGAGCGCAAACUGGGUGGUAAAUUUCAUCUCAAGCUAAAUAUGGGUUCGAAACCGAUAGCAAACAAGUACCAUGAGGGAAAGAUGAAAAGGACUUUGAAAAGAGAGUUAAAAGUGCCUGAACUUGCUGAAAGGAAAGCGGAUGGAACCAGUGUUGCUUGGUAAGAUUGUURCGCGCUAUGGUGAUUCUUGCUGCGCCAGCGCAAGCGGUGCUGUGGGUUGAAUCUUGUUGCGCGUGAUGCUUCUUGCCUUGUUCGUCACCGUCGGUUUGGGGGUGAGGACAACUCUUGGGACAUGGUAGCUCGCCUCUGGGUGUGUGAACGUGCCUUGUAGAACUCAUUCCCCUAGACUGUCAAUUGAACGUGUGGUCGCGCUGUCGUUCGCUGGCUUGCGCCCGACGAUCGCAAGGUCGUCGCGCCAAGCUAGCCUCGGCACCUUCCGCACAUCGCCAUGGUGACUAAAUGGUUCUAUUCGACCCGUCUUGAAACACGGACCAAGGAGUCUAACAUAUGUGCGAGUUCUUGGGUUUGAAACCUACGUGCGCAAUGAAAGUGAUUACUGAGAAUCUAGCAUCAGCAGCCGACCGAUCAAUUGGGAGAGGUUUGAGCAUGAGCAUAUCUGUUAGGACCCGAAAGAUGGUGAACUAUGCCUGUGAAGGGCGAAGUCUGGGGAAACUCAGAUGGAGGCUCGUAGCGAUACUGACGUGCAAAUCGUUCGUCAUACA